AUCACCAGCAAAUUAGAAGUAUGGGAUAGGAACAUUUGAGUCAGGAUGAAACAAAGAAGGUAAGAGGGAAGGGUUUGGGUAGAUUAAGUUUACUGUUGACCAGCAUAGACCAGAACAGGGUAUUCCUCAUUACUCCACCAUCACUAAUUCUACCCUGGCAUCCAACAUCAGCAAAUAUAUAUAAAGUUAUAAUUUACAUCAACUACAGCCAUUAAGACAAUCUGUAGUAAGUAGUAACCCUUGUAAUUAUAGAAAACAGAUCCACUGUUGCGAGAAUGUAAUGCGAACAUGUUUUCCAUCAGCAGCAUCAACACUGUGGAAGUUGCCAUACAUCUUCAAAUCCAGCAGCUAUUGCCAACCUCGUUCUUCAUUAUUCUCAGGGAAAGUGCAAAAAUUAAUCUUUCAUGACAUCAAAUACAGCCUGGCAUACUUCUGGAACAAUCAUGAGGGCAAUAGAUGAUAUCGAAAUUCUUAAUUGGUAUUGCAAGCUGGAAUAGGACUCUCCUGUAUCGAAGAAUCGUAAAGUCAAUGCCAGUC